UCCCUUGCGUGCUCUCUCUCUCCUCUUGGCGACGACUGGGUGGCAGGUGCCCAGGUCUUCUUGGGACCCUUCGCCGGCGACAAGCACCACCAGGUACUCCCAACCCCGUCUUCCCUUCCUGCGGUGCCAAACCGAGCACCCAAACCCUAACUCGCUAUUUGUAUUCGGAUCUGGUAUAAUUACAAGAUUUUGUUAGGAAGAUCUGAUGUUGCAGGUUGGGGUGCAUUCAUUAAGAAUCCUGUAAAUAAAAAUGAUUAUCUUGGAGAAUAUACUGGUGAAUUGAUCUCUCACAAGGAAGCAGACAAACACGGGAAAAUUUAUGACCGGGCAGACUCAUCGUUUCUGUUCGAUUUAAAUGACCAGGUGCUUCUUGUCCCACCGGCCGUUCUGGCACUCCGCGAGACCAGUACCUUCAGGAUCUCGUGACCCAGUUCCAGAACGCCACAAAUGAAGAAUCUAAGGAGAAGAUUGUUGCUAACCUGGCAAAUUUUGCUUAUGACCCUUUUAAUUAUGCCUUCAUGCGCCAGGUUGUUCUUGAGUUAUUCUUGGACUGCAUUACAGAGCCAAAUGAAAAGCUUGUCGAGUUCGGCAUUGGUGGAAUAUGUAACUCCUGUGAAGAUCCUGCAAAUUCUUUAAUCAUUACUCAGUGUGGUGGAAUCCCGUUGGUUGUACAAUGCUUAUGGAGCCUAGUGCGGAAUACUAUAAGCAUUUCUGAAGAUAUAGUGAUCAGCUCUUGAGCAGCUAGAGUGAUGUAGUUGUGGGCUUUUGAACAAUAGCUAGAGUGAUAUGAAACAUUAGUGAUGUAGUUGUGGUGCUUUUGUGACUGAUCAUCUCUGGAGCUUUUGUGAAUGAUCUAGCUAGCUAUCCGUAAAUGAUCUAGUUGUGAAUGAUAUUAUAAUUGUGAUGCUUUUGUGAAUAUAUAAUUGUGGUGCUUUUGUGUUUA